rnacentral:rRNA from 1 species
AGCGAACGCUGGCGGCAGGCCUAACACAUGCAAGUCGAGCGCCGUAGCAAUACGGAGCGGCAGACGGGAGAGUAACACGUGGGAACGUGCCCUUUGGUUCGGAACAACCCAGGGAAACUUGGGCUAAUACCGGAUAAGCCCUUACGGGGAAAGAUUUAUCGCCGAAGGAUCGGCCCGCGUCUGAUUAGUUAGUUGGUGGGGUAAUGGCCCGCCAAGGCGACGAUCAGUAGCUGUCUGAGAGGAUGAUCAGCCUCACUGGGACUGAGACACGGCCCAGACUCCUACGGGAGGCAGCAGUGGGGAAUAUUGGACAAUGGGCGCAAGCUUGAGCCAGCCAUGCCGCGUGGGUGAUGAAGGCCCUAGGGUUGUAAAGCCCUUUCGGCGGGGAAGAUAAUGACGGUACCCGCAGAAGAAGCCCCGGCUAACUUCGUGCCAGCCGCCGCCGUAA